UUCCUGGGCACAAAUCCGUCAAAGAGGAGUUUCACAGGACUGUAAGUCAGUGGUGUAAAAAUCGGUUUAAAUCUAAUCUCUUUUCAUCUAAUCUGAUAAAUGACGUUCAUUUGAUAACAUCUUGCUGCAACCUCUGAAAGUAACCCAAUAAUCAUAAUUUCCUUCAGGAUUUCCAGUGUGGUUGGAUGCAUUGAUGACAAGCAUAUCAUCAUCUUACCUUCUGAAAAUGAAUCAGAUUAGCCUACUGCAUGAAAUGGAAGGAUGCCAGAUGCAAGGGUAGUAUGAGAUAUAUGCCGUAACCACCACCACAGCUGUUAAAUAAGCACAAAUUAUUCACAAUUGAUUUGGUCAUCUUUAUUCCCUACAAAUACAAAAGCAACAGUUAUUAUUUUUCCUUUUGGGUUUUAAAAUUCUUCCAAUACUUGACCAUCUCCUCUUCAUCUGUCAGUGCUGCUGUUCUCCCUCUGCCUUCUUGCUGUCGACAAGUCAGUAUUAAUUUUAUUACUCUAAUUAAGAAAUGUAACAGGUUGGAUUAGAGAAUAUUUAAUUAUGUGAAAAGAGUGUUUUAGACUAUGUGGGAAAAGCUGCAGCGCAUUGAACUACACGAAUGAUAUUUAAUGUCAAAUGUUUGUAAAGUCAUUUAGCCCACACCCAUGAAGCUUUCAUGCUUAAAGACUUACCUUGAUUGAAUUGUGUUUUUAUACUUCAUUUUUAGCUGCUACAACGUGUAACGUGUCUGCCUGUCCAUGUCCCCGUUUUCCUUAUUUGGUUAAGUUCCGUUUCUUGUUAAUUAAUUAUCAGUCAUUGUCUCCACCUGAGUUUGAUUACGUUGUUUGCUCUUUUGUUCCUAUUCCUUUAUAAGCUUUCAGUUCUCCAGUGUAUUUUGUCCGUUCUACUUUGUUUAUUAAAGGGUAUAGUGUGUUGAAGCCGUUUGUUCUCCCGUCUCUCUAUUAUAUUAUUUUUAUGUUUACUACAACCACGCAACCCGUGACACAACGUUCUUGUUUAUUUUUUCUAUCUUUUUUCUUUCUUUCUUUUUGGCCAUGGGAUACCAUUAAAAUUAAUAUUAGUUUCAUAAAAAUUUACAAUCAUUUACAGUUUUCACCUCUGAUAUUAUAACAGUUAUUAAGUUAUUGACAGUUACUAAGAAUUAAAGUUACGCAUUGACGGAAGUACGUGUGCUGACGUCUUUUUGGUGGGAGCUGUUGCCAUGGUGAAUAGUAAUUUCGGCGCUCCGCUGAUCAUGACUUUUCAAUCAGAGUUGAUUGAACUAACUCAGUUCAGCUGUUCUGUAACUGAAAACGCAGAGUUUCCCAUCUCAGAGUAAGUCAACUCUGAGUUCGUUGAACCUCCUUACUGAAAUGGGCCCCAGGAGUUGGGCUGUUACACAAGGAGAGCUGAAGUAUUAGAGUAUGAAGUAUAAGUUUGAUUGAAGUAGAAAGAUGCACACCACAUCGCGAUACUCAAGAAUAAAUAAUUCUCUACACUUCCGUAUAUCCCAGUAAUUCCUUCAUGUUUCCACAUUGCUUAAUUAAUCUGAAACAUGUUCUUCUUGAUGACACAACCACUUCCUGUACCUUUCCUUUUGAGACGUGCAGUGCCGACACCUUUAAAUGAUGAGGCAGAACCACAGACAACACAACCCACAAGAAACACAUCACCAUUUAAAAAUCUUUUCAUCAGGAUCUUGAGCAUCGAGAUACAAAUACUUCCACAGAGCAUAAAGAUACCAAAACAUCUUCUAUAGUCAAACAAGCUGAUUUGUGAAGUCUCAGAAGAUGAAAUUUCCAUCUGUAUUUAAGAGCAAACUGGCUAAAACGACUUUUUUCAGAUCUGUUCCAGGAAACCUUUUGUUGAUUCCACUGGACAUUUUGGCUGAUUUCAAAUUUUCAUGUCCAUGCAAUCAUUCCUGGAAUAUAGGAAUAACAGUCCUUGUCUUCAUUGCACCUGCUCUUCUUGUUUUUGCUUUAACACUUCUCGGUUUACUUAAACCUAAAGAAAAGCAAGAAAUGGGAAAUAAUCAAGGAAACCAAGAAAGAGCAAGGGGAGAUGACAAUGCAGAAGAAAAAGUAAAUAAAUGGGUAUAUGUUUUAAUUAGUUUAUGUACAAUUUUUAUGUGGGUAAUUCUGUUACUUAUAGAUGGGGAUUAUGUUGCCUGUAGUAACACAAAUUGGGAAGGACAGUAUACUUAUGAUGACAAACUACAAAGAAAAUGGUGCAAACCUACUGAAUUGAUGCUUGGAGAAUAUGAAACUGAACUACAAAACCAGAUUCUCUUGUAUAUCAGAUACUCACAGCUUGCUGGUUAUAUUAUCCUUUUUGUCUUAAGCAUUAUUUUAAUGGUUGUGGCUUGUAUCUACUGCAAUAAUGUAAAGCAAACGAGGAAUAGUCUGUCGGAGGAAGAAAACGGGCUGCGUCCAAAUCACUGAAAGAAGAAGAAAGUCCACAUUAUGGUGACUGAUUCGAGUGACUGAGGUUUACAAAGAAAGCAAAAGCUCUUUUUUUCCUUCAUACAGUAUUUUGGUAUUUUUCAUUAUAACAUAGUUUUACUAUAGUUUUUCCCCCUGCAAAAUCCUGUUGGAGAUAGAUCAAUAGAGGGUUGUAGCUUUAUUUUAAAUCAGUUUCAACUGAUAAACUUUAUGCUGUAUAAUCUGACGCAAAAUUUUCUUUUUUGACAGAAGAUUCUUUUGUUCACCAAAGCUGUAUUUAAAAACAACAACAAAGUUACAAAGAGUAAUACUACGAUAUAAUAUUACAAUUUAAAAUAACUUUCCUAUUUUAAUAUAUUUGUGUUAUUAAUAUAUUUAUAUUAUGUGAUAUAUACGUGAUUGAAGUAAAGUUCAGUGAUACUGAUUAUGUAGUACGAACCCCUGAAUGAAAGGAAAGGCUCACAAAUGCUAAAACUGUAUGUCUCUCGUCCUAAAUCUAAAGACUCUGCCAGGUCUCCAGUGUAUGUGUAACAAAAACUAAUGUGUUGGCCACUCAUUUGCCAAAGCUUUAAUUUGCAAUAAUAAUAAUAAUAAUAAUAAUAAUAUUGCAGAUUCUUUGUCACAUGUAAACUUGUAACCAUGUUUACUCUUAUUUGUGGAGGUGUUAUGACCCUAUGGUUUGUUCGGUUAUUUCUCUGUUGUGAUGGGGUUGUCUGUGUCUGUAGUCUGUAUAGGAAGCAUCAUCUGAUUGGCUCCUGCAGGCUGAUUGUUGCUGUCUCCUGAUAGGUACACAACAAUUUAAAAUCACAUGUAUUUGACCCCUUUGCCUGUUUGACAAUGAUUUUUGGAUUGCACUCUAAAUUUGUUUGCUUGGCUCUGUAAAUAGUUUGUUUGUAAAUAUAGAUAAUUGGAAUAUUAAGGGGUGUUGCGCCAUUUUUGUUUGUGAACUUUUUAUCUCUGUUUUUGGAUUAGGUAGUUAUGUCAGUGAAUUGUAUUUUAUUUUCUUUGGUAAGGUAAGGUAGGGGUUUAAAAACUAAGAACGUUUUGUUUGUUAUUUUGGGCUUGUCAGCUCCCAAACCAAAACUGUCAUUGUUUUGCAAAUCUUUGUCCAUGCAAGUCCUUUCAUGUUUCACCUUUUCCCUAGACAGGACAUAAUAUGAGUUUAACCCUUUAACGUGCAUUGUAACCGCACGGUUGACCUUUUUUUGCGAUCAAAUUACUGUAAUUAAAACUCGCCAAACCCCA